ACGAACGCUGGCGGCGUGCUUAACACAUGCAAGUCGAACGGAAAGGCCCUGCUUUUGUGGGGUGCUCGAGUGGCGAACGGGUGAGUAACACGUGAGUAACCUGCCCUUGACUUUGGGAUAACUUCAGGAAACUGGGGCUAAUACCGGAUAGGAGCUCCUGCUGCAUGGUGGGGGUUGGAAAGUUUCGGCGGUUGGGGAUGGACUCGCGGCUUAUCAGCUUGUUGGUGGGGUAGUGGCUUACCAAGGCUUUGACGGGUAGCCGGCCUGAGAGGGUGACCGGCCACAUUGGGACUGAGAUACGGCCCAGACUCCUACGGGCGGCAGCAGUGGGGAAUAGUGCACAAUGGGCGGAAGCCUGAUGCAGCAACGCCGCGUGCGGGAUGACGGCCUUCGGGUUGUAAACCGCUUUCGCCUGUGACGAAGCGUGAGUGACGGUAAUGGGUAAAGAAGCACCGGCUAACUACGUG
rnacentral:rRNA from 1 species